AGCUUUGUUUGUUUGUUUUUGAGACAGUCUUGCUCCAUUGCCCAGGUGCAAUCUGGGCUCACUACAACCUCUGCCUUUCGGACUCAAGUGAUUCUCCUGCUUCAGACUUUCAAGUAGCUGGGAUUACAGAGCUAAGAAGGUGAAGUAAUUGAAAGCGCCCCUUUCUUUUCACUCUGAUCUGAAAUUACAACAGGCUGAGUGGAGCGGGAAUGAGCCUGUGUGUUGCUCAAGCUGUGAAGAGCCAAGUUACAGAAGAGGUAGAGGAAAUAUGACAGGGCUCAAACAACGGCUGCUGAAUUAUAAUAUUUCUGAAGGCCCUAAAGUAUGCUCUUUCUUCCCUCACCCCCUUGCCCCUGAGCCAGUCAGGGAUGAGACUGGCAGAGCACUACUACUACAUCCCUUCUGCUUUCUGUCAUAAACCUGGAACACUCUAGCAUGAUUAAAGAGAUUCAAACAAUGCA
rnacentral:lncRNA from 1 species